rnacentral:rRNA from 1 species
CCUACGGGGGACAGCAGUGGGGAAUAUUGCACAAUGGGGGAAACCCUGAUGCAGCGACGCCGCGUGAGUGAAGAAGUAUUUCGGUACGUAAAGCUCUAUCAGCAGGGAAGAAAAUGACGGUAUCUGACUAAGAAGCCCCGGCUAACUACGUGCCAGCAGCCGCGGUAAUACGUAGGGGGCACGCGUUAUCCGGAUUUACUGGGUGUAAAGGGAGCGUAGACGGCAGCGCAAGUCUGGAGUGAAAUCCCAUGGCUUAACCAUGGAACUGCUAUGGAAACUGUGCAGCUAGAGUGCAGGAGAGGUAAGCAGAAUUCCUGGUGUAGCGGUGAAAUGCGUAGAUAUUAGGAGGAACACCAGUGGCGAAGGCGGCUUACUGGACGGUAACUGACGUUGAGGCGCGAAAGCAUGGGGAGCAAACAGGAUUAGAUACCCUGGUAGUC